rnacentral:lncRNA from 1 species
AUAAAUUAGCAUAAACAAUGUCCACUACAAACGGAAAUAUCAAAAAAUUGCAUUUUUACAAAAGUUGACUUUUGGUCAUCUGUUGACUUUUGGUCAUCUGUUGACUUUUUAGUCAACCAGUUGACCAAAGUCAAUUAUUACAUUUUUCAUCCUAAAAUCCUAAUACUAAUCACAUUUUUAUCCUUGCAUUAAUUUCAUGAGUGUCCAUUGUCACAUUUUCCUUCAUAAGCAAGAAAUCCAUUUUUUUGAGUUUGCCAUGCUUUGUUGCCUUGCCAUCAUGCCAUGAACCAAAGGCCUUGCACCAAAAAUCCUGCAACAACCAUGAAAUUUUUUCUAAACAAUGCCUAACAUACAUGGCAAACCAAUCAUGAUACAUCAGCUAGCACUUGAAAGCUCAUCAUGGUAUAUGCUUCCAUCAUGCUACAGCCUGCAUUUUGCAUCAAUAUAGGGCAUGCAAUAACAGAACAUCAUCACCAAUAGUUAUCUGCAGCAACAAACCCUGCCUUGCCCUGCAGUUCUAGCCAAAAAAAACCUUGCAACCUAGGUUGUUCAUCAUCUUGCUACACAAUGACCAAGCAAUCUGCAUCAGUUCACAUCCAUACAAAAACAAUUAUACAACAUUGAACAGACCUAUCAAGGCAACACAUCAAGUCGUACAAAUUAUUCAAGCCAUGUCAUACUAGAUACCUCAACACCAAGUCCUGCAACAAUAGCCUGCAGUAAAUCACUCAUAUUACAUUGCAAAGUUAACAUCAAUAACACAACCCUAGCAGGCAAAAUUCAGUCAUAACAAUGCAACAUCUUGCAACAACAAAUCCUGCAUCAUAACAGAUCAUGAUCAAUAACCAUAGCAGGCCUGCAGAAUAACAUUUCAACAUGACAACAAUUAUGCAUUUAUAUCAGCAGCAGGGAAAACAAUCGAGCAAAACAAUUUCACAACCAUCUAACCAAUUAACAUCUUAACCGGACUUAACAUUUCCAAGCAAAAUCGAGCAAGGCAAUUGCACCCAACAUUAACCUAACACGAAUUAACCUUCACUAAUUAACAUCAUUUAAAAAUUAAACAUCACUAAACUAAGCCAUUUUUCACACUAAUAGAAAGUGAAGCUAACAAUUAACCUCUAACAGCCGAAAUCAGUUAAACAUUUUAACAGAAAAACUCAGCUUCAGUUAACACUUAACUCUAACAUAUUUUCACAAUUCAACUAACCUAACUAACUAAUUUGACACCAUGUUAACCCCUAACCAAUUUAUGAUUCAAUAACUAACAGAAGUUGAGAUUCAACAUUUAACUCCUCACAUAUAAAUUCGUUCAUCCUCACUCAUUCAAAGCUCUUAAUAAUUUUUUCAUUUUUCGAUUCAACACUCUUCACAACCUCUCAUUCUCUCAGAACUCAGAGCUCUCUCUCACUCAAUUCAUACCCU